rnacentral:tRNA from 1 species
GGAGAAAUGGCAGAGCGGUCGAAUGCGGCGGUCUUGAAAACCGUUAGGGCCGUAAGGCUCUCGUGGGUUCGAAUCCUACUCCCUCCGCCA